rnacentral:lncRNA from 1 species
UAAAUAACACUGCUAGUGUUACGUUGAUGAACAAGAAUAAUCUCAUGUCGUGUUGAUGGCUUCUGUUGAGAACAAGAAUAACAUCAGUCGUUGAAGACCCACUGACUAACAACAAAAAUAAUAUCAAGCACUAUGGCAGACGCAGAUCCAGAGUACUUAUUGAACAGGAAAAAUAUUAAGCAAACAAAUUGCCGGUAGCCCAGCUAACUGCUUAACUGAAACCAAAAGAACAGAGAGACAGAGGUCUCAGACUUCUUCAUAACUUAGGUGAAGAACCACCUAAGUUAUCCAAAUCUUUAAGCAUCCAAAUCUUUCUUCACCACCUUCUUCACCGCAUUCCAGCAGCCAAUACACAUCUCGUCAUUUGAGGCCAUCUCCAUUCCAUCGCUGCUCCAGCCAUCCGUCUGCAAGGUCGACCUUGGCGAUACAGAGCCAGAGGGAACAUCAGUAAAGCUCUGGUACAUCAGCAGACCGCCACUAGGAAGCUCUUGCUCUACAGGAUCACCGCACAUGUAGGAAUCGAUGUCUGCACCCGUCGCCCAUGAUUUGGCGAACCCACGGCCACCAAAGAUGGUAACUGCGACCGAGAAGUCCGAAGGAGAGAAGCCUGCCAGGACCCUCCUGAUCACAUCGCUGUAGACCAGUGAGCUGGGGUCGAAGUUCAUAGCUUCGUAGCUUGCGUAGCUGAAACCUUCCUCGGGUGUCACGUGGAUGGUGGAGGCUGCAGGCCCUAAGACGCCAUUCAUCGAGUACCCACAGGGGUCAAACUCGAAGUCACAGAUCUCCAUCUCGGGAAUGAUCUCAUGAAUCCCCGAGAGCUUCGUCAUCUCUUUAGCUGAAGUGCAGCUGCCACCAGUGGAGUUCUUGAAGAACACAGCAGCUUUCUUAACGUCAAGCUCUGUCAUGCACAUCUCAAGCGUCACCAUAGGACGCUCAGGCUCCUCUGUGGCGUAGUAGACAUGCCACUUCUUGUUGGGCUUGAACGGUUCACCGAUCAGGUAGGCAUUGCCACCGGACUUGAGGUUACCAAAGAAAGCGUUCAGCACAGAUACCUCCUCCGAGAAGCUGCGGUGUGGCGCGGGCUGCGCGCCGGGGAAGAUGAAGGUCCCACGAGAGUACUUCGCAGAAAGAAGAGGCAGUGACAGCCCUGCAGCAAGCUCAAGGAUGCGAGGAAUGGCGAGCAGCAGCUUCGUCGUCCCACAGGUCUUCAGAACAACCUUGUGGGGAUACACAAAGAGGCUGGACUCGGACAGAACAUAUGAGUCGAAGCUCUCGUUGGAGAGCUGUGACACUAUGGUGCACCGUGCGAGAUCCAGAAACGAGUCGAUCUGCUCACGGGAGAGGGCGCGCAGGCCACGACCACAAGGGUCCUCAAAAACAGGCGCGUCAGAGAACGUGAUCUCGAGGCGUUUCUCAUAGCCCUCAAAGCCAAUAGGGGAGGCAGGAGAAGAGACACAAGAAUCUGCUGAAGACAUCGCCACUGGAUGACGUUGCAAGAAAGAGAGGAUGAGAGAGGAAAAGGAGAGAUGGGCAAGACAAGUUGGAAUCUCAGAAGCAGAGGAAGGCAGCCAGAGCCAACGGAAAACUACCGACACAAGAGGAAAACUGAAUUAAAAUCCUACUCUACCGCGAAUUGCAUGUGAGGCGAUAUCAGGAUGGCUGGCGGACGCACUGCAAAACAAAAGAUCAAACAAAUAACGAGCGUCAGUAACCAAAGCGUGGAACGUAUCAAUGAGAAGUAGAUUUAGAACGGCAUUGCUUGUACCGCAGGUUUUUUGGUUCUUACGUUGGAAUAAGCAGCAGUCUGGAACUUCUUGAUUCCUCCGGCUGGGCGAACGUCCUCGAUCUUGUAGCCAAGGGGAGCUUCGUACAUGAAAUUACUACUACUACUACUAGACUUCUUGCCACCUUUCGACUCCAUUAGAGCAUCCACAAAUGCAAUCUCCUUGAACCUGUCGAUCGAAAGAGAGUAAGUUCUCCUUCUUGGGCAGCAGAACAGCACAAACGAUUAGCAGUUAUCAGGAUCCAAAUUCUAAGGUAGCACAGACAAAAUGUAAGUUUUCCUGACACCUCCGACAAACGGGGGCAGGAAGGCGAUCUCAAACUCUCCCGACGAAAAUCAAAAGCGCCCUCAAGAACCUAACCAAGAUCUAAGCCAACGUACUACGAUCUACCACAGACGAAACCGCCGGCCACUCCUCUCAGGACCCAACAGAGUCCUGGCGCACACAACGCAGGGCACGGCAGCAGGAUGAGUAAACCGAGCGCAAGGAAGGACGAGAGGAAGGAAAACUCACGUUCGUCCAGAACGAGAACGGUGGCGGCUCCAAGACCAGCGGGCUCGUUGGAAGGACCGGCCGAGAGGAAGGAGGUGAGGGCUGCUGGUGCUCUGGGUUGGGCAGCUCGACGGCGGGGAGAAGGAAUAGGUAGGGCGGCUCUUCUUGGGAUGGGUGGAGACAGGAACGCCGAACGCUAUUUAUAGCGGCCAGCGGGCGUGAGGGCGCCCGGGGCCAGGGCCACGGCCCGCGCCAACGAGCUGGCUGGCCCAAACGGUAAACGCUAAUCUGGUCGAGUCCACUGUAAAGUUCGAUGCACGUGGAGAAAGUUUAUUGAGGAAAGAAAUAAAUGGAAUUCGUUGAUGACUAGAGAGCGUGCUUUGUAUAGUCGCAUCUGAUAUUAUACGCAUAAAGUACCAUGUCAUUUUCACGACAUCUUAAAGCAAAGUCUUAGAGUUAAAAACUAAUAUAAAACAUAAAAAUAGAACGAUAAGUAUCAUUAUAAUAUAUAAAAUCUGUAUGACAAAAUAUCAGUAUAAUAUUAAUAUUAUAUUGACGAUAUAAAUAUGUAAUAUUAUUAUAAAUAUGUUGACUAAAUAGAAUGAACUGAUGUCGAACAAACAUUAUAGUAUCACAAAAAUUAUUUUUAAAGAAUCAAUAUAGAAUUCUGAAUGUUAGGCAAAUAUAUUGCGUUAAUCUAAACUUUUUUAGCGACAUUGAUGCAUCUGUUAUAUGUUUGUAGUGAUGGUAUAUCAGUAUUAAUUACACUUAUAACUUAACAGGUCAAUCACAAAGUUCCUCUAAACAAUCUUUGGAUCCUAUGCACAAGAUAUAAUAGAACAAAAUGCAAUUUUUUUAUUAUGUAAUUGGAAUGUAUGUUUGAACAUGAAAUAAAUGUACUCCAAUCACCCUAACAAAUUUCAUUCGUCGAUCAUUCCCGCACAUGGUCAUAACUUAUAGAAUGAGGUAGUUUUUAUUAAUCCUAUAGAAUAAUGUUUCACCAACUAUGUUAUAUAUAAUAGAAAUCCUAGAAUUUUUUUUAAAUUGCUCAGAAGGUGGUACAAAAAACCCUUUUGAGUUCAUUGGAGAAUUAGUUUGAAUUGUAUGUCCCCACUUAAAAAUAUUCUAUGUCCAUCUAGAACGUUUCUUGUUGUAAAUAAUCUUAUAUUUCUUUGAGGUCAUGAUAGUCGCUUCUGCGAAUAUCUUGUAUGGCAUAUGCUUACACUAAUCUCGAGUGAGUGUAAAGUCGAUGAAAGUCACAUACUUCUUACCAUGAUCGACUAUGAAAAGGACGUAUCAAUCGAUGAAUUUCCAUGGCAUAAGAAUCUGCAAAAUAUCAACCAUUAGGAUUGCAAAGAUGUGUCCUUUAUAAAUGCAUUCGAAAUGAACAGAGACUUACAUAUUUACAACCCGUGAUAUAAUAGUUCAUUGAUGGCCAACAGUCAAAUGUUUUCGCUAACUCUUCUAUUGUAGUGUCCUCAUGAUACUUUGGAACUUUGCCAAAACCAGUUACUCUCUAGAUAAUUUAUAUAUAUAUAUAUAUUACUACAUGAGGAUUAUAUAUAGAUACCAUAUAUUAUUACGAUAUUGAUAAGAAAUAAACUUACACUGAAGCGCAUGACAAUAUAAUGCUUUCUAGCCCUUAUCUUUUCACCUUUUGGCCUUUUUUCUUGAUUGGCAAGAAGUGAAACAACCAUGUCAAAACAUUUUUGGGUCAUAUCUUGAUUUAUUUUGGAUAUUUCUUGCAUAUCUUUGAGAGAUAUUUCUAUCUUAAAAGGGUUGAAACUUCGCACACAUGUCAUCAUGUAAUGUAGCAUGACAAAGGUAUAUAUCAUAUAUCUAUAUAGUUAGUAGACAUAAAAUAGAUAAAACUACGAGCACUUACUGUAAUGUCGUAUCGUCUUGGAUUUUCAUGAUGCACAUAGAACAUUUAUUAAAUCGACUUUGGUCACUAGCAUGUGCUUUGUGGAAAGACCACUCAUUAAAAAGUCGUUGGUACACCCAUCGAUCGAGAAUUUGGAACGAGUUCUUUUAUCCCAUUCAUCAACAAAUCGCAUAUCUAAGUCUGCUUGAGUAAUGGGGCCAAACUCAUCUUCCAUCAUUACUUCGCUAUCAUCAGGAACACGUAGUAGUUUCCUCUUCUUAGGAUUUGUCGGACUAUCUGAUAUUUGAACAUCAGAGGGGCUUCCAGUGUCAGCUUCUUUUUCAUAUUUGUAUAACAGACAUCCUUUCUAUUGUUCAUGUCUGAAGAUAGCAAUAUAGCAGCCAUUUUUUCCUUAAGUAUGACAUGUCAUCCUACAAAUAAGAAACAAUUUAUUUGGUAUUAUAUAUUGCAUUUAUUGUAGAUGUUCAUAUAUGUCACAUAGUAGUAAUAAUAUACAUGAGUAAAACUAUCAGACAACUUAUCCCAUGUCCAGUAUUCGAUAUAGUUCAAUAGAAAGAGGACAUAUGAAGAGCUACAUUAUACAUCAAUAAAAAUGGCAAGAUUGAUACCAAUGAAUAAAUUAGUUAAGAAACGUUUAGGGUGUACCCAUCUGUCUGCUUUGCAUAUCCCAAUUCUAUUUCUCUCGGUGGUCAAGAAGCAACUUGGAGGUCUAGCUACGUGUGAUCUUUUAACUCCUUACGCAGAGAUACCAUAUCAAUUUGUCUUUGCAAUCCCUAAUCUUUAUACUGUAACACUACAUAAUCGUAUUUUGGUGAAUUAAGAAAAUUCCCGAAAGAUUUAAAAUUUCAAGCGUAUUAUAACGAAGUUAUGAAUUGAAUCUAUCUUCCCUAAAAUUUAAUAAAUAGUAAAUAUAAAAUGUUGGUUAUAUACUUAAACUAUAAUAGAUAGGAUAGUGAGUUAUUCUAUAUAAAUCACUCCUACUGGGUUAUAUAACUAUGUGACUUCCAUGCUUAUUAAAUUUCAUGCAUACAAAUAAUUAUUUGAGCAAAGUAAAUAAGGAGUAAAUAAAUGUAAAAUAUUUGCAUUUAUGUUGGUGUUUUGGUUGUGCAUAUAAAUAUGGUUUCAAAAUUUAAAAUCAGAUUUGAAUUGGGAUAAUUAAAUAUGGAAAUAAAAAAUAGGAAAAAAAGAAUAGCAAAUAAAAGGCUUACCUAUUUGGCCACUUAAGAACACAUCCACGUGAGUUUUCCUCCUAUUUUUUAUUCCACUUGCCGGAUCUUGCAUCACUAUUACAUCAUCCAUGACAUCAGCCAUCCCUUGUUGUUCGUAACAAAAUAACCACCAUAGUUGUUGUAACCGCCCGACCAAACUUCUCACCUGCACAACUAAUUUGGUUUCGAGUUUGUUAGAGUUCCUAACAGAUAAGAUAUGAUUGUAAUAGAUAAGUACCAUAUUAGAUCUAUCAUGUAGCCGAUUUGGUUUCGAGUUUGUUAGAGUUACUAAUAGAUAGGAUAGGAUUGUAACACAUAAGUACCAGAUUAGAUCUGUCAUGUAAUAGAUUUGGUUUCGAGUUUGUUAGAGUUCCUAAUAGAUAUUGUAUGAUUGUAACAGAUAAGUACAAGAUUAGAUCUGUUAUUUAACCACCCACCUCCCAGCCCAUAUAAAUACAUGUCACCAUAACACCUCAAGCCAUCAAUCGUAAACUUAUCUUAUCUAUAGCCUCACAACACCCUCGCCGUGGGUCGAGCAUAGGGUCGGCCAUGGGGGGGGGGGAGUCAUGUUGGGUAAAACGCACACGUGCCGUCAGAUUGAUAGCCAACAGAGGAGAUUAGAAGAUGGUAACUUUCCAGCUCAUAUUAAUCGUGGUCGUAGGUCAUAGGAUGGGUGGCUAGGAAUAGAUCAAUGGGAUACCGGUUCACAGUUUAAAUCUCGGUCGUUGAUCUUGUGUGAUGCGGCCAGGAUAACGUUCGGCCCGUGGAAUCCUAUGCGUUGGAUCUAGAUCUUGCAGUUGAUCGCGCGUUAGGUUCAUAAAGCGGCCAAAGCUAAUCUACACCAUCGGGCAUGGAUCCAACGACCCAGAUGCAAGGAUACCCCUUCGCCGUUGUAAAUUAGCUAAAGAGCCCCUCUGAUUUUAAGUAAUAAACCUGUCGUCCUAUAAGUUUAAAGGAAAUAACGGUUGGGUCCUCAGUUUUUACAAAACAGUCCCUGGUAUUCACAGAAACAUCCGAGGAUAGUAUUUCCUAGUAUAAAAAGAGUCCUAAAACGUGUUUGAAUCCUAACUUUUGCACCUUAACUCUGAAUUACUUCGUUCAAGUUGCGUUAGUCUCGUAUUAAAUUUGUCUACGCAGUAACCACAUUAUUUUAUCAUAUCACCUAUGUUUAUAAACAGAUAUUUUGAUCUAUGAUUAGUAAGUCUCCUAAUCCAAAGUUGACAUGUCUAUAAUUAUAAUUUGACUGUAACAUGAUCUCUAAUCAGGUUAUGACAUAAAUUAGAGUUGAGUUAGUAAUAUCAUCCUCACCUUAUUUAGUCUAAUCAACAUAGAAUAUAGUUCCAUUGUGUAAUCACCUAAGAACUUUAGAAAACCAUAUCUUUACAUCCAUAACUCCGGAUUUAGUGGUUCUCGAACCUACGCUCUCGUAGCGACGCGUAGAGUAUUCUUACGCUAUUUGUUCUUAUGUUUGGUGUGAUGUUAAUUUUUCCUAUGCAAUGUCUGUAUGUUUUGACACGAGUAGCAGUGAGGUCACGAGAAACCCGAAGACCAGCUUGGUGAAGUACCUGGGGUCUCAAGUAUAAGGCAAGUUGUGCCCUUAGUCACUCUUCUUACCUAAUAAUGUUCUCUGUUAAUCAUUGUGGCAUGCUCAGGUUAAUCUGAUGGGACCUAAUAGGUUUCCCUAGUUUGUUUACCCCAUACCUUGCAAACCAAUGAACUAUUGGGUAGACUUACUAUUGCUCUACAUGGUUUUGGGAUUAAUGAUAUAUUGAAUUAUGAUCAUGUUCCAAUAUUGCUGUGGAUUUAAUUAUUGUUCAUGAAAAGACUAUUGUGUUAAUUGGAACAUGGAGCUUAACUUGAGAUAACAGUGCUACCACAAGGGUGGAAUGGGACGCACUUGGCUAGUUAAUUAGGAAAGCUAGGGAGAGAUUACCUUACCUGAAAGGGGCAAGCAGGGAGGCGUCGUUGCAGAGUACAGCGAGGUCCUCGGGUCGAACUGGUGCGAUGGCUUUUCGGACGAGGGACUCCUAUGCUUCCUUCUUCCUGAAUUCGUAGUGGGUUUUCUCGAACUAGUGGAACUUUGGAAAGGCCUCGUAGUGCUACUCUGCCUCAUCUACUCGGUAGGGAUGAAUGGGAAGUCGCGAUCGCUUGGCAAAUUGGUAACAUGACUUGUGGGUAAAGGGCGCAACCUCUGCAGAGUGUAAAACUGGUAUAUCAGCUGUGCUCGCGGUCAAGAGCGACUUAGGACUCUCGCAUGAUUAAUUUAUUUAACUAAACUUAAUAUGUCAUAUGCAUUGCAUUGUGGGUGUUAUUAUUAAUUGUGACCUGUUAUUUAACUGGGUUGGUAUCUACUUAUACUUAGUAACUGCUAAUAAAAUUUUGACCAACUUUAAAAGCAAUACUCAACUUUAAUCAUCCUCUUUGGUAAGCCUUACACUUCACAUGAGCCCCCACCGUAAGUGAGCUCAUGCACAUUAUUCCCCACAAUUUGUUGAGCGAUGAACGUAUGUGAGCUCACUCUUGUUGUACUCACAUCCCCCAGGUCAAAAACAGGUACCGCAAGAUGUGGAGCGUAAAGGAUGUCGCGAUGCGUUCGUGAGAGGUCUAAGUCGUCGUCUCCCAGUCAACUAUGGUUGCUGGAUUGUUGUCUUCGUAUGAUGUAAUUAUUCAACUAUUUUGUGACAUUCGUUAAAGAUGUGACAUUCGUUUCUGUACCAUGAGUCAUCAUAUGUGGGAGACUUGAUCCUAGCACACAUUUGAGACGUGCCCGGGUUCGGCCCCUAAAUCCGUGUGUGACAUACACAUUGUAAAACAUAGAAUAAGAGGUUCGAAUAAGUUAAUAAGGGAUUAGUAAUUUUUUAGUUUAUGCAUACUCAUGGAGUCAAUGAGGUCUUUGCAGUCGUAUGAAGUACCAAGUGAAUCGGGCACUUAUUUCUCUAUAUUUUUUUGCAUUGAUCAUGGCAAGAUAUCACUGGUUCCUCAGAUGUUUAUCAAAAUAAACACCUACAAAACAAUUGCAUAAAAAUAAAAUACAUGUAAAUACUAAACGUGUAGAUUGCAAACUCAUAUUUACCAUGUUAUGGUCUAAGUAAAGUAAAACCCUUCGUUUAGCGCUAGAUAUUUAGGCCAUGUCUUUAAUUGGAUAUAACUCAUAUGUUUUAGUUUUAACAUCACUGUGUCGAUUUAGAAAGUUGAAUUGAAAGCAUUUUCUAUGCAAACAUGACCUCCGGAUCGACACUUUACAUGCUUUCGAGCUUUUAUUAAGUUUAUGUAACAACCUAUCAUCUGCAAGUGUGUAAGUUGUGGUUAAAAAUACUAGGGUGAGUAAAUUUUUUAUACAUACUAGGGUCACCAAAUGAUAAACUAAUUAUGGAUUACCUCAUCACCUAGAUAUGUGCCUAGUUGACAUAGGCAUUCCAUCCACUUCCUUUCUACAAGGGCAUCAUCAAUAAGCAUGACUUCUACCCUUAGUUCACAAGGGAUUUAUUUAAUAAAAUCGAUGAGGGCAAGAUUACCCUGCGUGCAAAUAUAAUCUAGGAACAAAACAGUUGUGAGAUGAAACAGAAAUUGCUUGCUAUAAAAACACAAAUUGAUCCAUACAAUACCAUGGAAGUUAUAAUACCUUCUGAAACUAUUGCAGUGACCACCAAUUUUUUUGCUUGUUAUGAGACAAGCACACAAGUAGAGAUUCAUCUACUGAUAGUGUAUUAUCUGUUUGUAGGAUAGGAAGUACAUUAUUUUCCUCUUGAGAUUCCAUCCUCUUGAGACAAAACCUACAUUCAUAAGGUGGAAUAUAGGUCAGUGCCCGUUCUUCGCAUGGAAGUGAGAAAAACAAAUGAUGAUUUGAUAAACUAAAGCGAUACAUAUUGCAAAGUUUCUAUAUGCCACUAACAUCAAUCUUGUUGUGCAAAUUCAAAAGGCGUCUCCUCUGAGCAAUUCACUUACAAUGAUUGAUUAUGUAGAUGUCUCUUUAUAUCUCACUUACCAAAUCCAAUAUGUGUAAAAAGAUCUACAUGGAAUAGAGAGAACUAUAGUAUAAACAUCAGACAUGAAAGAACAUUUUGGAGCCAAAUAAUUGAAAUUCGAAAAGUUAAAACCAAGCAAAGGUCAUGAUGAGGAAUAUAACCUAUUGAUCGGUGUUUUUAGUGAUUUAAGCAUUGUGUAUAGCUAAUGUUCUUUUUAUGUAUUCAUACAAGAACCGAGAGAUAAAAUGAUUAAUGCUCUGAUCACUAAGAAAUCAAAUAGACUGACACAUGAUUGCACUACUAUACCAGCCGGACUCCAAUAUUCGGUGUCUCAACAAUUCUGAGAUUUGCUUUUAGUUGUCCGAACAAUGUUAAAGCAAUACAAAUGUCAUUCUUAGAGGCAACCAAACUCUUGGGCAAACAUAGACCUUGCGUUGGCAUGGGGGCUCAAUUGGUAACCUCCAUUAGUGGUGUUUGUCAGGUGAAAGGGAAAUGUGCCCUUGGACCAUUUCUUAGUGUUUUGGUGAUUAACUGCUCAACACACCACUAUGAACUAACCAUCUUGGUAUGAGCAUGAGCACAAGUCCAAAUGGCUGGGAUCAAAGGACCAAAAAGUGCAACCUUGGACAAAACCACAAAAACAGAAGGCUCAAGUAUUUAAAUAAGUUGCACUUACUUCAUGCUAUGUUUCCUGCACUGGUAUUUGGUUAUUAACUUCUUUGUGCAAGUUAAGUGGCAAUUGGACUUAGUUUGAGCAUAUUGCAAAUCCUAUUGAAAUUAGGUUGCAAAGGUACGAUUCUAGCACUUAGUAAAAUGUCUUAGUUGCUAACGAUGUUCAUCUAAAUGCUAGGGAACUUCUCAAGACAAGCGAAAAGAAGGGAAGAAGUUUGGCACAAAGGAGGAGUUGGGCCAGACUAGGCACCACCGGACAGUCCGGUGUGCACGAGACAUGUCUGGUGCUGGCCUGCUUGGCUCACUCAAACUGGCCACUCUCAGAAAAACGUUAGGGCUUACUGGCUAAGAAUCACCAGACAGUCUAGUGUGCACCGGACAUGUUCGGUGCGCUAGGCGGCCAACGGCUCUACCUAGCGCCAAUGGUCGGCCGCACAAUCAACAUCGACCACGUCAGCACGGCAAUGGUCAACAAGGUCACUAGACAUGUCUUAUGUGCCACCAGACAGUCCGGUGCCCACCAAAAAAGGAAGGUGGCCAAUCAGAUGAUUCGGUGGCCGUUGCAUGGGAGUUGUCCGGUGGGCCAUCGGACAGUCCGGUGCACCGCGGAUAGAAGGCAACAAGGGCCUUCCAGAUGGAGGAGCAACGGCUCCUGGGCCCCUUGGGGCUAUAAAAGAGGCUCCUAGGUGCCUCUACCAGCACAACAAGCACUCCUAGAGCAUACUACAACUCCGAGAAUCCGCGACCAUGUUGUUUGAAGAGUUUGAGACAUUCGAGCGUGUUUUUAGCUACAACUCUGCCGUUCUUGUUCUUGCACUCUCUCUUUGUCUUAUGUGCAUGUUUUUUAUAUUGAUCACUUAUGUAAGGCGUGAGACACUCCAAUGUGUGGAGAUUCCUCACAAACGGGAUUGAGUUAUCAAGAAGACAUAUGUGGCACUCAAGUUUGAUCUUUGAUUCAUUGAUGUUCGCUAACUCAGUUGCACCAGCAGGCUUUUGCUUGUGAAAGCCGAAGCAAAGAGCCAUCUCAUCAUGAUGAGCAUCAUGACAGUAGUAGCUCAGAUUAUGAGCCAAAAGUUGUAUAUGUCGCUAAGCUUAUUUGGACCACUAAGGCCAAACUUUCUGCUUACUCUUCCCUGCAGCCGAUUUAGAAGAAUUGGCAAGAAGUUAAAUAUUUGAUGAGUUACAUAAGAAAGGUAACAUUAAAUUGUCUCACACAAAAAAAUAUGUGUGUAUUGUAAAUGGCAUGUCUCCUUUUUCAUGAAACCAAUGAUUGUAAUGUCUUCCGUCGGCGAACACAAUCCGUUAUAAAUAAAGGUCGGUUGAGAUUCAGGAAAUGAAGAUUGGCAAGCAGCUUGUCCCUGUCAACACAUUAGAGUUGGUAGUUAAGAAAGUCUUGGUUCGGUCGUGUACGACCGAUAAAGGCAAAUGCAAAAGUAUUAUCAUUUGUGACCCUCGCACGCCAAAUCUUUCCCAUAGAGUGGUUACUCGAAUGGCUCCAGACAAAAGAAAGAUCUAAGGCACCAGGGGUAAGCAUGAUCAGAUACCCGAUCACGGUCACCUGACCUAUGUACGUCGGAUGGUCCGGGAACUAAGACCGUACAAUUUGCUAUGAAGGUCGGACGGUCCAUGGACAACCAGAAGCAACAACGACCUGAGAUUGUCAGACCACAACGUCCUAAAAUAGGUACUAGGAAGCAAAACACUUUCAAGACGUCUAGCUAGUUCGGCAAAGUCGAUCCUACUUUUGAUCAGCUUCUUACUAAAUAUAUUAAGAAGAAGCUCGUUCCACAUGACCAACCAAUAAAAUGAACAAAGUAAAAAAGGUGAUAUAUGCAAAAGCAAAGGCCGACUAAACCUACCAAAAAAGUGGUGCAACCAAGAUCGCUUGGUCAUCCACCUCCAGGAAUAUCAAGGUACUGUCCAGUCUAUUCAUCGCCAAUGUGUUGUCCUACUCAAGUGUGGGGUGGUACGGUGAUGAGUCGGUAUUACUUGUCCAAUCUGUUUGCUUAUUUAGAUGGGGGCACCACAAGUUUUUGCCUAUUGACAUGUUGAUCAGGUAGAUAUGGCCAAAGAGGAUGCAAUCCAAAACGACCUCUAUGAAUUAUAGUCCUAUCAAAUAGUUAUAUUAUCUGAUCACAAGAGCCGGUAACUUGCAUCAGGCUAGAAGUUCAUACUUUGGGAACAAGGCAUGUUGCCUAAUCUAUUGUUUCCUGAAAGAAUCUAGUAGUACCAGGUGAUUUUGGUUCACUAACCUCCACCAAAAGGCAAGGGGCAUGUGUUGAGCACCACAUUUGGCACAUGUGCAUGGAUGGAUAGUACAUGCCCGGGAUCAGAUUAACUCGAGCGAGAGUACUUAUCCAUGCGUGGUUAUCCUAACCUACCCAUGGAAAUCUAUUGGAUCCCGCCUAGGAACAUGUCUAGACCUCAUAUCCUAUAAUUAUAAAAGGGUGCGGCGGAUUGAGAACCCCAAACACAUUCCAAUUGAACCCAUCUAUUUACUUUCUGUAUCAUUCAUUCCUUAGGAGUAGAUGUAGCGUAGUCCUAGUUGUAGCUCCACAUCCCCUAUCUUCACCUCUAUUUAACUCUACGUCGUCUAGAGCCGUCUUGGGUGGCUUGCCGGCCUCAAGACGACCCUAGGAUCUUACCUAACAAGGUCCCCUAGGGGGACAAGAUUCACUUCGUCCACUUCACUCAAGAUCUCUUCCUCGGACUAAUUUCUUAAUCCCUAGGCAACUCUACGUCAUCUGGGGACCUCCUCGGGUGGCAAUGUAGUUCUCCUAGGUUUCUACACAUAGUGUCACACAACUUUCUCUAAACAUUCUCAAAUUUUUAUCACAGCCUCUACAUAUGAUAUCAUGACAUGUGGACAAGUUUCAUGAUUUUCUGACUUUGUUUGUGUUUUAUACAAUUUUAAACAGCUGGAUGGCAAGUUCACGGCCAUGUUCAGUGAGUAUGGUGCUCGAAGCUUCCGGUCCGCUCCUGAAAUCGGUCGUAACUUGUGCUAAAUAGCAUGGAUAUCAUUUUUGCAUGCACAGUUUUCUAAGUUUCGAGUGACUUGCAGUUCAAAUGUGAAUUUUCCGAAGAAAUUCAAAUAAACGAACUAAAUCCAGUAGUUAUAGAAAACGCUGUUAUAAUUGCCCCAAAAUGGUACAUGUAGGUCUACAUAGUGUAGGAACAUACGACAAAAGUUUGGUAAAGAAAAUAAAAAAUAUAUAUACUUUGUCGAGUGCCCACGCUAGGACACUCGACACAGAAGGCUUUGUCGAGUGCCAGCUGUGUGGCACUCGGCAAAGUAUUUUUAAAAACCCUAAGUCCAGAUUUUGUCGAGUGCCUGUCAGUGGGUACUCGGCAAAGACGUCUUUACCGAGUGCCAGAUCCGGGGCACUCGGCAAAGUAUAUUUUUUAAUUUUUAAAAAAAUCUUUGCCGAGUUCCCGCGAUCUGGCACUCGGCAAAGCCGGUGAAUAUUACACACAUGUCUUCCUCUUUGCUCAGUCUAACUCUCAAACACACACCGCCGCCCGCGCGCCGCCACUCCAUCGCCCGUGCGCCGCCACCCCGCCGCCCGCGCGCCGCCGCCCCCGCCCCGCCACGCCAUCUCCCCGCCAAUCCCGCCCUCGACAACGCCAAUCACCGGCCAUCCUCCCCGCCGCGCCAUCUCCACCAACCACCGCUAUUGCGGCCAUCUCCCCGCCAAUCCCGCCCUCGACAACGCCAAUCACCGGCCAUCCUCCCCGCCGCGCCAUCUCCACCAACCACCGCUAUUGCGGCCAUCUCCCCGCCAAUGCCGCCCUUGAUCCCGCCAAUCACCGGACACCCCGCCAUAUCCACCAUCCUGCCCGACUAAGGUAUACAUUUCUAAUAUAUGUGUAUUGUUGGUCUAUACGAAAUUACAUGUGAUUGAUUCGAUUAUUAUUAGGUUAUAUGAAAUUAUUUACAUAUAGUUAUAUGUAGUUGGUCUACAUAUGGUUAUAUAAAAUUGUUAGGAUUGAUAUUAAGUGGUAGCACUCGGCAAUGAUUCGAUUAAAAUAUAAAUGUACUUUGCAUGUGGCUAUGUAGUGGAUUAUAUAUACAUAUAUAUAUAUAUGUAUGUAUGUAUGUAUGUAUGUAUGUAUGUAUGUAUGUAUGUAUGUAUGUAUGUAUGUAUGUAUGUAUGUAUGUAUGUAUGUAUGUAUGUAUGUAUGUAUGUAUGUAUGUAUGUAUGUAUGUAUGUAUGUAUGUAUGUAUGUAUGUAUGUAUGUAUGUAUGUAUGUGUGUGUUUGUCGGCCAUCGUGCUGUUGAAAUAUGCGUGGUUGUCAGCCAUCGUGCUGAUACUUUUAUUUGCAGGUUUUAGAAACCUCCCCAUGUAGGGGAGGUGCUGCCGAAAUUUUCUUUUGCUAGGCUUCUGUUAGAGGAUGGAGGACCGUGAGUAGAUGUAUACGGGCCAUAGAGGAAGGAACGAUGUCACACCUGAAUGGAUUAGAAAGACCGAUGAUUUCGUGGAACGGGCAUAUGGCAAAGCUGCUAAAGGAACGAGUCUAGUCCCAUGCCCGUGCAGCAAAUGUGCCAACCAAAAAAGAAAAUCGAAGAAGGCCAUGGUAGAACAUAUUUGGAAGAAUGGAUUUAUGUCGGGCUAUACUCGGUGGAUCUUUCAUGGUGAAGUGCAUCGUACAAGAGAGGAGGUGCUGAGACAACGCGCCGAGGAUUAUGAUGUCGAUGCGGGGGUAGCGGAUAUGUUGAACGACUAUCACGAGGAACAGUACGUCGGAGGAUGUAUGGAUGACAAGCCAGAGCCGACUACAAAGGCGUUCUACGAUAUGUUUGACGCGGCACAGAAGCCCCUUCACGACUAGACAAAGGUUUCUCGACUGGAUGCCAUUAGGCGUGUAAUGGCGUUCAAGUCACAGUACAGGAUGAGUCGAGACGCAUUCGAUGGCUUGUUGACGGUUAUUGGGAGCCUCUUUCUAGAGGAUCACGUUCUGCCAAAGAGCAUGUACGAGGCACAGAAACUCCUUCGUGCACUCAAGAUGACGUAUGAGCAGAUACAUGUUUGUCCGAAGAGCUGCAUGCUAUUUAGGAAAGAAUACACGGAGGCAAAGUAUUGUCCCAAGUGUAAAUCGUCUAGGUUCAUGGAGGCUGACUCUAGUGAUGGACAGAAGAGGCAGCUCGACAUCCCCUUGACAAUCCUACGACACCUUUCGUUCAUACCGAGGAUCCAGCGUCUAUACAUGACCGAGGAAUCCGCGAAACAUAUGACAUGGCACAAAAAUGGAAAACGAUACAAUCCUGACAAGAUGGUGCACACAUCCGAUGGUGAAGCAUGGAAACACUUUGAUGCCAUUCACCGUGAGAAAGCCGAAGAGGCUCGUAAUGUACAUGUUGCGCUGGCCACAGAUGGGUUCAAUCCCUAUGGAAUGAGUGUUGUCCCGUACACAUGUUGGCCCGUGUUUGUUAUCCCAAUCUAUCUCCCCCCGGUGUGUGCUUUCAAAGGCAGAAUAUAUUCGUGUCGUUGAUAAUUCCUGGACACCCGGGGAAUAAAAUGGGCGUGUACAUGGAGCCUUUGAUCGAUGAAUUGGUACGUGCCUGGGAGGAAGGGGUAUGGACGUAUGACCGAGCUACGAAGACAAACUUCAGAAUGCAUGUUUGGUACUAGUACUCCAUGCAUUACUUACCGGCGUAUGGGCUAUUCUACGCCUGGUGUGUUCACGGUAAGUUCCCAUGCCCAGUUUGCAAGGAAGCUCUUAGGUUCAUUUGGUUGAAAAAGGGUGGCAAAUAUUCGUCCUUCGAUAAACAUCGACAAUUUCUCCCUCCUGACCAUCCAUUCCGCUUAGACAUCAAGAACUUUACAAAAGGUGUCGUAGUGACAGACCGCCCACCUACAACGAUGACUGGUGCCAAAAUUCGUCAACAGGUAGAUGGGCUCGUGGCCAAUACAGAAGGUGGUUUUGUCGGAUAUGGUGAGCAGCAUAUGUGGACACAUAAGUCGGGCUUGACUCGGCUCCCCUAUUAUAACGACCUGCUCCUUCCACACCACAUUGACGUGAUGCACACUGAAAAGAAUGUUGUCGAGGCACUUUGGGCAACAAUUAUGGACAUUCUGAUAAGUCAAAGGAUAACGUAAAGGCAAGAGUGGAUCUAGCAGCGUUAUGUGAUAGACCAAACCAAGAGAUGAAGCCGCCAAGUGGUGGAAAGACAUGGAGAAGGCCUAAGGCCGAUUUCGUCAUAAGUAGGGCCCAGAGAAAGGAAGUACUUCAGUGGAUCAAGAUGUUGAUGUUCCCUGAUGGGUAUGCAGCUAACCUAAGUAGGGGUGAACUUAUCUACUCUGUGAGUCUUAGGGAUGAAGAGUCAUGACUUCCACAUAUGGAUUGAACGGAUUCUUCCUGCGAUGGUUCGAGGCUAUGUCCCUGAGCAUGUCUGGCUAGCGCUUUCAGAGUUGAGCUAUUUCUUCCAUCAGCUUUGUGCAAAAGAGUUAUAUCGGGUUGUGGUUGCAGACUUGGAAAGAUUGGCACCCGUGUUACUAUAUAAGCUUGAGAAGAUAUUUCCACCUGGCUUCUUCAAUCCAAUGCAUCAUUUGAUUCUUCAUCUCCCCUAUGAGGCACGAAUGGGGGGCCCAUGCAGGGACGUUGGUGCUAUCCAAUCGAGAGAUGUCUAAAGACUAUUCGAAAUAAAUGCAAAAUCGAGGCUUCCAUUGCAGAGGCAUACAUUCUAGAGGAGGUGUCAAACUUCACAACAACUUACUAUGGUGACAAACUGCUGAGCGUGCAUAAUCCACCCCCUCGUUACAAUGAUGGCGACAAUGAAUCGAACCUUAGCAUAUUUCGAGGCCAACUCGGAAGCGCAAGUGGCUCGACCACCAAGACCCUGACACAUGAAGAGUGGCGGCAUAUCAUGCUAUAUGUAUUGACCAACCUUGAAGAGGUGAUGCCAUACAUGGAACAAUUUCUUCAUGAAUUCUGGCGUCGAUCAAGGGACCCAACUCCACAGGAAUAUGAUACUCUUCUUAGAAAGGGUGCGAGAAAUGGAUUGCCCGAUUUCAUUUCCUGGUUCAAACGUAAGGUAUGUGCUUAGUUUGUCAAAGAGAUUCGUCUAUGAACUCAAUUUAGCGUCUUUUAACUUGCGAAUACUUGCAGGGCCAAAUAGAUCCGUCUAUGAGUGUCGAGUUGAGACAAGUAGCCAACGACUUUGCUUAUAGGGUCAAGAAAUAUUCUGGGUGUGACGUCAAUGGAUAUCGUUUUCGCACAACAAACUACGACCAAAAUCGGCCCAAUCAGAAAACAACGUGUUAUGGAGUCUUUACGCCUGGCCUUGACGAUGUCGAUUAUUUUGGACGAAUCGAAGAAAUAUAUGCACUCAAUUUUUAUGGUUCCAAACCUCUUACUCUAGUGAUAUUCAAAUGUAAUUGGUUUGACCCUCAAGUGACGAGACGAACAUAUUCUAAUCUUGGGAUAGUCGAAAUUCGACAAGAUUCCACCUUACCAGGAGAUGAUGUCUAUAUCGUGGCCCAACAGGCCACACAAGUGUAUUAUCUCCCAUAUGCGUGCCAAAUGAAAGAACAUCUUAAGGGUUGGGAUGUUGUGUAUAAGGUAUCGCCGUACAGGAUAUUACCUGUUCCUAACGAUGAAGAUUAUAACUUAGACCCGGAUACAUAUGAUGGAGAGUUCUUCCAAGAAGAUGGGCUAGAAGGGUGAUUUGAGAUAGACUUAACCGAAGCUAUCGGAAUGGCUGUAGAUAUUGAAAUGGUUGUUGAUGAGGAGGAUGAUGAGGUGCAAAAUGAGAAUGACUUAGUAAUCCUUGAAGGCAAUGACAUUAAUGACGAACUUACGCCUUCAGAUGGUGUUGACUAUGAAAUGGUUGAUAGUGAUGAUGAGAGUUAUGAUCCGGCUAACCCCGACACAUAUGAAGUUUAUUUUUAAUCGAUGUAAUGCUAUAUGACUUUUUAUUUCACACCUGUUUUUAAAUACAUCUUUUUAUAUGUGCUUAUUUGUUUACUCUUAAUUGCAGGUUGUUGGACAAAGAUGGUGGGCGGUUGGCUGAGGAGGAGGAGGGGGAGGAGGGGGGGGGGAGGAGCAGGACGGCGGACGACACAUAGCAGGACGAGGCGCAGCAGGACGACCUUGUCCAGCAGUAGGCGGCGCAGCAGGACGAUGAUGAAGCUCAGCAGGACGCCUCAGGUUCUGGCACCUCAGGUUCGAGGAGCGUCUACCUGCGAGGUCCCGCGAGUCUCCCUCAGCGUCCCAUACUUCAGGACAGAUGACCAUUGAUUCGGCCGGAUGGGGAGAGGCAUGUAACUUUAUGUUCUUCAUUCUUGUUAAUAUUAUGUGUUCAAAAUCAUAAUAUAAACUAAUACUUUUUAUUUAUCACUUGGACAGGUCUUGAACGGUUGUGGAGAAUGCUGGGGGUCAUCGUCGCAACCCCAGUGGCAUCCUCGGCCUGCUGUGCAGGGAACACUUCCCUAGACUGGUUGAGUACGCCAGAGUGACGGGCCCAGCCUACACCUUCGACCACUACGCCGUCGCCCCCGAUGCAGUAGACUGGGACGACCGAGAAUUCAAUAACAAGGUGGAGCGGGUGAAUCAAGAGCUGUGGGUAAGUCUUAGUAUAAUGUAAAAUAUGUCGCAUUCGUUGCACAUUCUUGAAAUAAUGUAUGGAUACAUCGUUUUUGUAUGCAGGAUUUCUAUAGAUGUGAGGCUGGAUACGAGGCUAGGGCAGAUUUGUGGCCACCACAAGCUGUAAGAAGCUCAUCGUGGACAUGCACUAUGAGGCCUGAAUCCAGGCCAUCGUCAGCUACCACGGCUCCAUCCUUGGGGAGAAGGAGACCAAGCAGCAAGCCUGAACCAUGUCGUUGACCAGGGACCAGUACCUACAGGUAAAGUCAUGCAUGUUUGGUACCAGUACUCCAUGCAUGAAUUUAAUUUUAUCUUCUCAUAUGCAGUGUACGUGUUUACUUUGUAGAUGAUUCCAUAUUGGUGCGCCGCACAUCCUCUGUGCUGGGAGCAGAUGGUGGAUAGGUGGUGCUCGCCUGACUGGGACGAGGCGCACAACGCUAGCCGGAAACGGCGUCUGAUGAUGCAAGGUCCCUCGCACCACCAAGGCAGCCGCAGCCUCAGCAAAUAUGCAGAAGCAUGGGUACGCCCUCUUUUUUAUUUAGGUAUAUAACACUGGAUUAGAUAUUAUUUCUAACUAUCUCGUUGGUUUUCUUGCAGUCGGCGUCACAUGGUGGCCAGCCUUGCUCCAUCUUCUCGGCCUAUGCUAUGGCCCAUAAGGGCAAGGCGACGUCCGACGUCACCUACAACCCGGAUGACAGGCCCGAGGCAUACAACAACCCCGCCAUCUACAGCUGCCUUCAUGACUACACCAUCAUGGCGUAGGAGGUCCAUGGCCCAUAAUACGAUCCGAGGACCAAGCAGAUCGACCCCGAUGUGCUCAUGAGGGUCGGAGGAGGCAAGAGACAUGGGCGGUACUGGAUUGCCGAUGGGGCAAUCGACUCGUCGUCCACUCCCACUUUGUCUCAGGUGUGAGCAAGGAGCACGGGCUUGAGUCCAGCCAUACGACCUCGGCACGAGAGCUCACAACAUCGCAUAAAGCAACUCAAGGUUAGUGCUUUUGUAACUCGUCAUUACUUGAGUUAUAUACCUUCUCUUUGAGUUACUAUAACAUUGGCUUGUAAUAUUACAGACCCAGCUAGAAAAAGAGAGGAGGGAACGUCAAGAGAUGGAGGCGAGGAUGAUGGCGGAGCGGGAGGCAGAGUGGGCGGCUCGCCUGGCAGAUCAGCAGAGGAUGGCGGAGAUGUUCCAAUACAUGCAGAGCCUUGGCACCGCACAGGGUUUCGCUCCACCACCUCCAUUGUUCCCUACAAUUGACCCUGCUCUGUUCCAUACUCCUGUGAGUAUCAAAAUUGUAGUUAGAUGUUGGUAAUGCAUCUGGUAUAACACAUGCAAUCUCUUCUCUGUGCAGGGCCAAUCUGGGGCGGCAUCCAGCAACCCUCAUGAAGCGCCCAACCCAUCGCAGCACCAGUCCAACCACCCACCUCGAUGAGAGUUAUGUUUUUAGUGUUCAGACUUCAGAACUUGUGUUGAAUACUUAUGUCAGAGCUUGAGACAUAUGUGUUGAUACUUCUGAACUUGUGUCGAUACUUCUGAACUUGUGUUGAGAACUUGUAUAUUAAUGUUUGUGUUGGAUAUUUAUGUCUGUGAUGAUAUCUGUGAUGUAUAUAUGUGAUGAUAUCUAUGAUGUGUCUUUUAUUUGUUUAGAUGGAAUAGAAAAAACAAAUUAAAAAGGUGUGUACUGAUCACUUUACCGAGUGUUACACUCAACAAAGAGGUGGUUUGCCGAGUGUCAGGGCCAUAACACUCGACAAAGAACCAAUACCUGGGCACCGGUAUAGCUUCUUUGCCGAGUGUGGUGACCCUGACACUCGACAAAGAGGCACACUUUGUCGAGUGUCGUACAAAGCACUCGGCAAAGAACCUGACAAAGGGACCCACUGACGGAUUCUUUGUCGAGUGCUGGCCGGAAUUUCUUUGCCGAGUGUCACCUAGAACACUCGGCAAAGACGCCGUCUCCGUCACCCCGGUGCCGUGACGGUCGCUUUUUUUUGCCAAGUGCCCGAGAAAAAGUACUCGGCAAAGAAGCCUUUGCUGAUGUACUGUUCGUCGAACCCUCUUUGCCGAGUGCGACACUCGGCAAAGACUUUGCCGAGUGUUUUUCAGGCUUUUGUCGAGUGCUUCAGGCACUCGACAAAGCACCCGAUUCCGCUAGUGUUUACAAAUACAAUGUUAUUCAUUUCUAUAACAUCAAAACUUAGUAGCUGAAAUGAGCUUAUGUAAGUAUGUUUGUUCGUGUGGCUUCUGAUAAAAGGUAUUUCAAUUACGAACCGGCGAGUUAUUUAUUAUUCUGAUCAAUUGCAGUUGGUGUACCUGCUGUGGAACUCAUCUCGGUUGACUUGGAGUAGGCUUUAUAUAAAUCUUAGCAUACCAUUGUGAAUUGUUGGUGGUCUUAUUGGUGGACAAGAACUGUAGUCAUUGAUUGGCAAUGAAUGAAUAAUUCGUAGCAACCUAAAAUUGUAUGGCAUGCUUAAAUUUCUGGAGAGAUGACAUGUUUAUGUUUAAAUUGUGUUGAUUUUAUUUGGUUUUUGUUGGUAUUUAAAGUUUGGGAUUUAAUCCACAUGAAAUAAGCGAACAAACAUAGUUAUUUGGUUUUUGGGAUACAAUCCAUAUGGAAUAAACGGACACACAUUGGUUGAUUGGGUUUAGGGAUUUAAUCCCGCAUGGGAUUGGGUGAAUGGUUUGGAUUCACCCAAUCCAUAUGUUAAAAAAACAAUUCGGAAAAAUUCUAUAGCUACCAAACAAAAACAUGGUUGAGCCCGGGAUUGCAUCUUGCAAGGAGGCAUAGCUCUCUUGAGUUAUCAUGGAAAAAAAUCUUGGAAGCAAUAUUGCGCUAAGAGCUUCGCAGUGUAGGGCCAUUGAUUUUGGAAGCCAAAUCUAACCGCUUUGUAAUACUAUCUCCAACAAUUUAUCUAUACACAUCCCUAUAUUUAAAUUCAACUCUAUGAGUAGUACAAUUUACCGUGCAAAACAGUAUUUUGGAACCCUAUAUUUAAGGAAGCAUACUUUGCACUAUGCUUGUUUGUAUUGUGGCGAGUAGAAGAGCCAGUGGCCGAGGAUCCGGGUGUUCAGCAGGUAGAAGUUGCUGAGCAGGAGCUCACUGGAGGCAAGUUGUGCCCUUGACCACUUUUAUUACCCAAUAAUGUUCUUUAUUAUCACUUAUCCAUGCAUAGGCUUAAUUUUUAUGGGACCCAAUAGGUCACCCUAGUCUAGUUAUCCUUUUACCUUGUUCAUCCCUGAAUCAUUUGGGUAGUUUUGCUAUUGCUCUAUAUGUUUUGGGUUUAAUAUUACAUUAUGUUUAUGUUCCAAUUAUACUGUUAUUUUAUUUAUUAUUCAUGACAAGAUCAUUAUUUUUAAUUGGAACAUGGAGCUUAACUUGAGAAACUCGUGCCACCACAAGGGUGGAAUGGGAUGCCCUUGGCUAACUAACUAGAAAAGCUAGUGGAGGACUACCUUACCCGAUAGGAGCAAGGGCAGUAGGGAAGUAGGCGUGUAGGGAGGUUUCCGGGUUGAUUUUGCUGCGAUAGCAGUCAGACGGGGGAUUCCUGCAUUGCUCUUUCUAGAAACUGUAACGGGUUUUCUGAAACUAGUGGAACUUUGUAAAGGCCUCGUAGUGUUACCCUGCCUCGCUUCCUUGGUAGAGGUGUAUGGGAGUCGCAAUCCCUUGGCAAAUGGGUAACAUGACUUGUGGGUACAGGGUACAACCUCUGCAGAGUGUAAAACUAGUAUACUAGCUGUGCUCGCGGUUAUGAGCAGCUCAGGACUCUCGCAUGAUUAAACUAUGGAACUAAAUUCAAUUUGUCAUUUGCAUUGCAUGAGAUUUAUUAUUAAUUUUGUUCUAUUAUUAUUAUGGUAUGCAUUUACUUACAUCUAGUAAUUGCUAAUAAAAUUUGACCAACUAAUUAAAAGCAAUGUUCAGCUUUAACCCCUAUUAUUGAUCAACCUUACACUUCACAUGAACUCCCACCUUUGGUGAGUUCAUGCACAUUAUUCCCCACGACUUGUUGAGCUAUGAUCUUUUGUGAGCUCACUCUUGCGAUAUAUAAACCCCCCACAGGAGAAGAACAGGUGGCCCAGGAGGAGCCGCACAACGAGGAGUUCGACUUGAUCUAGGUGGCGUCUCCCAGUCGACUUUAUGGCGCCAAGGAUGGACUUUUGUUCGCUUUAUAUUUAACUUCUAUUUUCAUAAGACUUCCGCUAUGUAUUAAUUACUUUUAUGAUAUUGUGACAUUUAUCUCUAUAAACUCUGUUAUUAUAUGUGUUGUUCUUCUUUGGCGCACAUAUGAGACGCAUCCGGCUUUAUUCCUUAAAUCCAGGUGUGACAAAAAGGCAGGGGGCAUGUGUUGAGCACCAAAAGUGGCGGACGGUCCGGCCUUAGGGCCCGGACGGUCCGUGGCCCCGCGAUCAGAUCAACUCAGGUGAUUAUCCUUAUCUCGUGCCUGGUUAUCCAUCUAAUCACGUGGGAGUUGUUGGCUAUCUCCUAGGAACAGGUCCAGACCUCCUCCCCUAUAAAUAUAAAGGGGUGCGACCGAUUGAGAACCCCCGAACACAUUUCAGUCGAAUCUAUCUACUUUAUUUACCCUAGGAUCUUAGCCCUCCCAGGGGGCAAGAUCUAGUUGUUGAUUCAAAAUACUAUAUCUCGGCUGCCUCUUAAUUCCUAGACGACUCCACGUCGUCUGGGGACGCCCCGGGUGACCUGUCGACCCAGAGCGCCUAAGAUCUCUCCCCUAGGUGCAAGAUCUAGAUUCCAACGAGGAGCAAGACGACCCUAUGCCAUCGCGGACCGUCCGGCCCUGUGCGAGGGCCAUCCGGUGCGACGUAGGGAAGGUGUCUCUCCUGCGCCCAGGUCACAGACCGUCCGGCCCUGUGCCGCGGACCGUCCGCACCUCCGCAGAGAGCACCACCAGACAGUACACCCCUAGUGAUUGGCGCUGCCCAGAUCGGCGCCAACACCUGCGAGUUAAUUUAUUAUUCUGAUCAAUUGCAGUUGGUGCACCUGCUGUGGAACUCAUCUCGGUUGACUUGGAGAAGGCUUUAUAUAAAUUUUAACAUAUCAUUGUGAAUUGUUGGUGGUUCUAUUGGUGGACAAGAACUGUAGUCAUUGAUUUGCAAUGAAUGAAUAAUUAGUAGCAACCUAAAAUUGUAUAGCAUGCUUAAAUUUCUGGAGAGAUAACAUGUUCUAUGUUUAAAUUGUGUUGAUUUUAUUUGGUUUUUGUUGGUAUUUAAGUUUGAGAUUUAAUCCACAUAGAAUAAGCAAACAAACAUAGUUGUUUUUGGGAUACAAUCCAUAUGGAAUAAACAAACACAUAUUGGUUGAUUGGGUUUAGGGAUUUAAUCCCACAAGGGAUUGGGGUGAAUGGCUUAGAUUCACCCAAUCCAUAUGUGCAAAAAAACGGUCCGAAAAAAUUUUAUAGCUACCGAACAAGAACAUGGUUGAGCCCGGGAUUGCAACUUGCAAGACCAAAUGGAGGUAAAAUCCGCUACUAUCCCAAUAGAUUAAAUAAAGCAUAGCUCUCCUGCGUUGUCAUGGAAAAAAAUCUUGGAAGCAAUAUUGCGCUAAGAGCUUCGCAGUGUACGACCAUUGAGUUUGGAAGCCAAAUCUGACAGCUUUGUAAUACUAUCUCCAACAAUCUAUACACAUCCCUAUAUUUAAAAUCAACACUACAAACAAUGUUUUGUGUAACUAUAUGGGUGGACACGGUCUUACUCGAAGAAAUACAUCGCUGACUCUGACCCGCUCGCAACUGUCUUACACAGCAUAACAGGAAAAACAUAUAUAUGCAAAAGUGUUAUAAACCUGUCCAACAAGAGUGUGAAUCAAAACAAUGACAAAACUUGGUGCUCAUACUGAGACUAUGUAACUAAUUCAAUAAUACUGCUAGUGUUACGUUGAUGAACAAGAAUAAUAUCAUGUCGUGUUGAUGGCUUCUGUUGAGAACAAGAAUAACAUCAGUCGUUGAAGACCCACUGACUAACAACAAAAAUAAUAUCAAGAUAUUUAAAAAAAAAAGAAGUAUGAAAUGUGCUACAUGUGCUAAUCACAACAGCGGGAGUGACAACCAAUAGAUUAUUAACCAAAAUUUCCAAUAUAUUGCGGGAAUAGGCAAGUCUGUUACAAGAUCAUUC